UGCAUAUACACACAUGCAUAC
rnacentral:miRNA from 1 species